rnacentral:rRNA from 1 species
UACGGGGGGAGCAAGCGUUGUUCGGAUUUACUGGGCGUAAAGGGCGCGUAGGCGGCGCAACAAGUCACUUGUGAAAUCUCCGGGCUUAACCCGGAGCGGCCAAGUGAUACUGUCGUGCUAGAGUGCGGAAGGGGCUACUGGAAUUCUCGGUGUAGCGGUGAAAUGCGUAGAUAUCGAGAGGAACACCUAUGGCGAAGGCAGCUCGCUGGGACGUUACUGACGCUGAGACGCGAAAGCGUGGGGAGCGAACAGG